AUAGGCUAAAUUAAUCAUAUUAAUUUCUAACGAAGCCAGUAAUGGAUUUUUAUUUUUGAUUUGAUUGCAUUUAAACCUAAAUUAUAUAUUAUCUACAUCAUGAAUACGUAUUAUUUUUGAAAAAAAAAACAUAAUUUUUCUAAUAUGUAAUGCGACACAUUCCUUCCUACCAAUUUAUUAGAUAUUAUGCAUAUUAUGAAUCAUUAAAAAUAAAUACCUGCCUACUUAGUAACAGGUGGUGAUAUCAGUCUCGAAAUAACUAUACCUAGUUGUCAUUCCAAAAACGGGAGCUGCGCAAAAAAAUAGAAAAAAAAAAAAACUGCAUAAAGUGCAGUGAAUACCUACUACCUAUCAAUAAAUCAAGAAAUACCUACAAUGCACUGAAUAAAACCCAAGACACCCAUUACACAAAUUAUCCCUACAAAACAACAAGUGGAAUGGGAGGGAAUCAAGUUUUAUCAAUUGAAAAAAAAAAAAAAAAACAAUCAGAUAAUCUACGUGCCAUUUUACAUGAAGGAAAAAUAAAAAUAUGCAAACUAGUUUUUUUUUUAAUCUGUUAUUGAAAAAUGGAUUCCCUUUUAUCUAGGAAGAUAGGAAAGUGGUUGCGGAGAAAAAUAAAAAUAUCAAACUCAAACUCACUGAUAAGCUCGGAAGUCAAAACAUGUAGGAUGACAUGAGUGGCCAACAACUAUGACCGAACGAACGAAAACCAACCUACAUACUCAACUCAUGUAGAUAAAUAGUUUUUUUUUUUUUUUAUUUACUUUAUGUAGAUAAAAGAAAAAUAUGAAUGCCUUUCUUGCAUAGUACACAAUUAAAAUCAAUUACAGUAGUUUCAUUGCUGUUUUUAUUCGAACUAGGGUCGAGUGAGUAAGUUGAUGGAAACAAAAUUAAUUAUAUAAUCAAAAAACUUAAGUAAUAUUAAUUAUUUUUUUAGAUUUUGAUCAAAAAAUAAUUUCGAAAAACAAACAAAACCUAUUUUUGUUCCCUUUGAUAGGUGAAUUAGAAGAAGUAGAUUGUUGAUAAAAGAAUGACGGA